AUGUUUUCUUCUAAGUAAUGCCUACAAAUUCGUCCUUUCCUCUCCUUGUGAGUUUAGGGCUAUGACUGAAUACCAGAUGGGAAGAGGAUCGUAAGUUUCUGUUAUAUCUGGAUCUAGAUCAACCCGAGGACCUGUGGGCAUCAUGGAACUGACCAUCCUGGAUGAGAAUGCUACUGGGCUGCUUUUCUGAAAUGUCAAAAAAUAUCACUGAUUGCAACUCUUGCAUUUUACGACAAUACCUUUCUCAAGAUGGAGAUGCCAUCUCUGUCACCUGCCUUGGGGUGAAAAAGCAGCAUAGGUGAGUUGCACCGUUUUGUUACCCCAGCAAUAUGAAGCACUCAUUUUCUGGGAUAAACCGUGGUUCAGA
rnacentral:lncRNA from 1 species